rnacentral:rRNA from 1 species
UACGAAGGGGGCUAGCGUUGCUCGGAAUCACUGGGCGUAAAGGGUGCGUAGGCGGGUCUUUAAGUCAGGGGUGAAAUCCUGGAGCUCAACUCCAGAACUGCCUUUGAUACUGAGGAUCUUGAGUUCGGGAGAGGUGAGUGGAACUGCGAGUGUAGAGGUGAAAUUCGUAGAUAUUCGCAAGAACACCGGUGGCGAAGGCGGCCACCUGGGCCGACCCUGACGCUGAGGCGCGAAGGCGUGGGGAGCGAACGGG